UAGUCCACGCCCUAAACGAUGUCAGCUCGGCAUCCCGUCUUGUAUGGGGUGCCCAAGGGAAACCGUUAAGCUGACCACCUGGGGAGUACGCCCGCAAGGGUGAAACUCAAAGGAAUUGACGGGAACCCGCACAAGCGGUGGAGCAUGUGGUUUAAUUCGAUGCAACGCGAAGAACCUUACCAGGUCUUGACAUACCUAUUGUACGACGUAGAGAUACGUUGGUCAGUUCGGCUGGAUAGGAUACAGGUGCUGCAUGGCUGUCGUCAGCUCGUGUCGUGAGAUGUUGGGUUAAGUCCCGCAACGAGCGCAACCCUCGCCGUUAGUUGCCAGCACUUCGGGUGGGAACUCUAACGGGACUGCCUGUGAAAGCAGGAGGAAGGCGAGGAUGACGUCUAGUCAGCAUGGUCCUUACGAUCUGGGCUACACACGUGCUACAAUGGCAGGUACAGAGCGCAGCCACUUCGCGAGAAGGCGCUAAUCGCUUAAAGCCUGUCCCAGUUCGGAUUG
rnacentral:rRNA from 1 species